GAGACCACGAGGACGCAAGGCCAACGCCGCCAAGGAGACGAGGGAGGGGAGGAGCCUGAGGAGCUCGGAGUGCUCGGAUUGGCUACAGUGAGAGAGGAGAGUCACGUGCCCCGCGCGAGGCCGCUCGGGGCGUGGGCGUGGAGCGGAGGCACGGUGGCCGCCGCAGGCACAGGCGCAGAGUCCACUGCGCGGGGGCGGGACCGGGGAGCUAGCUGCAGACUCCACGUUUUGCAAAGAUCGAUUUUGCCUCAGAGUCAGCAAACUCUUCAGAUGGGUUCCGGUGUGUCCUAUGUUUACAAGUCAGUGGAAAUUAAGCACAACACAUACAAAUUGAAAAGUCAAAUAAGGAAAUGAAUUACUUCCCCUGACGGCUCUAAUUUUACUUGGCUAAAGCCAAUUUUUAGGUUGGCUUGGGCAGAAAAGUGAAAAGAGAAUGCUCCACUUUAACCGAUGUCAUCAUCUGAAAAAGAUAACACAGAAAUGUUUUUCUAGUAUACAUGUUAAAACGGAUAAACAUGCACAGCGAUUUCUUUCAAGAACCUUUGCACUUGCGGAAUUGAGGAAGUCAUGGUAUUCAACCCACUCUCUUGUUGGAGACAAAAAUAUUAUCCUGAUGGGACCUCCUGGUGCUGGGAAAACAACAGUAGGCAGAAUAAUAGGUCAGAAACUAGGUUGUUGUGUCAUAGAUGUGGAUGAUGAUAUCCUUGAAAAAACCUGGAAUAUGAGUGUGUCUGAAAAAUUACAGGAUGUUGGUAAUGAGCAAUUUUUAGAAGAGGAAGGAAAAGCUGUGUUAAACUUCUCUGCAUCUGGAAGUGUGAUUUCCCUUACUGGGUCCAAUCCAAUGCAUGAUGCUAGCAUGUGGCAUCUGAAGAAAAAUGGAAUAAUUGUAUACCUGGAUGUACCUCUACUAGAUCUAAUUCGUCGUCUAAAAUUACUGAAGACAGAUAGGAUUGUAGGUCAGAAUUCUGGAACAUCUAUGAAAGACUUAUUUAAAUUUAGAAGACAGUAUUAUAAGAAGUGGUAUGAUGCUCGUGUUUUCUGUGAAAGUGGGGCUUCCCCAGAGGAGGUAGCUGACAAAGUGCUGAAUGCAGUUAAAAGAUACCAAGAUGUGGACUCGGAAACAUUCAUUUCAACAAGACACGUUUGGCCUGAAGACUGUGAACAGAAGGUUUCAGCAAAAUUCUUUAGUGAAGCUGUAAUUGAGGGGUUGGCUUCUGAUGGUGGCCUCUUUGUUCCUGCGAAGGAGUUUCCAAAAUUAAGCUGUGGGGAGUGGAAAAGCCUAGUAGGAGCAACCUACAUAGAAAGAGCACAGAUACUGUUGGAAAGAUGUAUCCAUCCUGCAGACAUACCUGCUGCCAGGUUGGGAGAAAUGAUUGAAACUGCUUAUGGGGAAAACUUUGCCUGCUCAAAAAUUGCUCCUGUCAGGCACCUUUCAGGCAACCAGUUCAUUCUGGAGUUGUUUCAUGGACCAACAGGAUCAUUUAAAGAUUUGUCUUUACAGCUUAUGCCUCAUAUUUUUGCACACUGUAUCCCACCAAGUUGCAAUUAUAUGAUACUUGUAGCUACUUCAGGAGACACAGGGAGUGCAGUCUUCAAUGGUUUUAGUCGUCUAAAUAAGAAUGAUAAGCAAAGGAUAGCUGUGGUCGCAUUUUUUCCUGAGAAUGGAGUAAGUGAUUUUCAGAAAGCACAAAUAAUUGGCAGUCAGAGAGAAAAUGGAUGGGCAGUGGGUGUUGAGUCAGAUUUUGAUUUUUGCCAGACAGCUAUAAAAAGAAUUUUUAACGAUUCUGAUUUUACUGGCUUUCUUACUGUGGAAUAUGGAACAAUCUUAAGUUCGGCUAACUCCAUAAAUUGGGGCCGACUACUUCCGCAGGUAGUUUAUCAUGCUUCCGCAUAUCUUGAUCUUGUUAGUCAAGGAUUUAUUUCUUUUGGAAGCCCAGUCGAUGUCUGUAUUCCCACAGGAAACUUUGGUAACAUUUUAGCAGCAGUGUAUGCCAAAAUGAUGGGAAUCCCGAUUCGAAAAUUUAUCUGUGCCUCUAAUCAGAACCAUGUUUUGACUGAUUUUAUAAAAACAGGACAUUAUGAUCUAAGGGAAAGAAAAUUAGCACAAACCUUUUCACCGUCAAUAGAUAUUCUCAAAUCUUCAAACCUAGAACGACAUUUACACUUGAUGGCUAACAAAGAUGGGCAACUAAUGACAGAAUUAUUUAAUCGAUUAGAAAGUCAGCAUCAUUUCCAGAUAGAAAAGGCUCUAGUUGAGAAACUUCAGCAGGAUUUUGUAGCUGACUGGUGCUCUGAGGGAGAGUGCCUAGCAGCUAUUAACUCCACUUAUAAUACUUCAGGGUAUAUUUUGGAUCCACACACUGCUGUUGCAAAAGUGGUUGCAGAUAGGGUGCAAGACAAAACUUGCCCUGUGAUUAUCUCAUCUACAGCCCAUUACUCAAAGUUUGCACCUGCUAUCAUGCAGGCUUUAAAGAUUAAAGAAAUCAAUGAGACUUCAUCAAGUCAGCUCUAUUUGCUGGGUUCAUACAAUGCAUUACCUCCACUGCAUGAGGCUUUAUUAGAGAGAACAAAACAGCAAGAGAAGAUGGAGUACCAGGUCUGUGCAGCUGAUAUGAAUGUCUUGAAGAGUCAUGUGGAAAAACUUGUCCAAAAUCAAUUCAUAUGAAAGCUUUCAGAGUAAAAUUUUUUUUCUAGCUAUAAGCAUGCAGUAAUGAAUCUCAAACACUGAUUUGGAGUAUAGUAGCGUUUUGUCUUUUAUGUAAAUAUCUCUGUAUCUGUUUGAAAUUUCAAUAGUCUGAUCUCUAGGGCUGACAUGAGACCUCCAUGUCACCUCUUCAGAUCUUUAAUCUGGAAGUGACAAAAGGUAACACAGUGCACGGACCUUUGAGCUAUCAUAUUUUUGCCUUCUGAUCAUGAGGGGUGUAUCAAUUUCCACUCCCACACCCUCACUGUUAUGUGGACCAAAAUGUCUGGUAUACUAUUUGGCAAUCAAAAUAUAUAAGCCCAGUUUUCAGGUACUACAUCUGUAACUAGUGAAUACUCUGUUGAUUAGAAAGUUAAUUUACCACUCAAAAUGGCUAACUUGAAUGGAGGAAGUAGUAAACUCUUCUAUUAGGAUUCGGGCCAGUGUUUUUUGUUUGUUUUUUGGUGCAGUUUCAGCUCACUGCAACCUCUGCCUCCCAGGAGAAUGGCAUGAACCUGGGAGGCGGAGUUUGCAGUGAGCCGAGAUCGCGCCACUGCCACUCCAGCCUGGGCGACAGAGCGAGACUCCCGUCUCAAAAAAGAAAAAAAAAAAAAAUUAGCCAGGCAUGGUGGCGCAUGCCUGUAGUCCCAGCUACUUGGGAGGCUGAGGCUGGAGAAUCACUUGAACCUUGGAGACGCAGGUUGCGGUUGAGCAGAGAUUGCGCCAUUGCACUCCAGCCUGGGCAACAAGAGCAAAACUCCGUCUCCAAAAAAAAAAAAAGCAUUAUUUUUCUGAAAGUGAGAGGAACAGUGUUUUAAAAGACAUGAUUUCUGGCUGGGCGCAGUGGCUCACGCCUGUAAUCCCAGCACUUUGGGAGGCCGAGGAGGGUGGAUCACCUGAGGCCAGGAGUUCAAGAUCAGCCUGGUGAAACCCCAUCUCUACAAAAAAUACAAAAAAUUAGCUGGAUAUGGUGGUGCACACCUGUAGUCCCAGCUACCCACGAGGCAGAGGUUGCAGUGAGCUGAGAUCACACCGUGCACUCCAGCCUAGGCAACAGAGCAAGACUCUGUCUCAAAAAAAUAAAUAAAAAUAAAAAAGACAUGAUUUCUGCCUUCAAGAACUGUAGUUAACGAGACAACGCAAAAAUUCAAUCGUACAAGCAGAAGAGUUAUUGCAAGAUGGUGUGUCAAUAAGUGAAAAAUGAAUGAUAACAGCUAAGUAGCUAGGUGCUGUAAGAUUUAAGAGGAAAGGAUUACUAUGGGAUAGUCAGAAAAGGUCUCAUAAAGGACAUAGUAUCUAAGAUGAAUCUUGAAGGAUGGGAAGAUUUUCUAGGUGAAAAGGAAGGGGGAAAACAUUCUAGCAGAGGCAGGAGAAACAGGGAAGAUGAAAUGCCCAAGGGUUCGUAUGUAUUUAUUUGUGGACAGCACAUUCUCUUACUGGCCAAAAUUUUAUUUCAUGUCUUCACUUUUUCUCAAAACCAACUCUGGCCCUUCACUCUCAGCUAAUAGCUUUGCUUCAUUCUAGAGGAACAAGUGACCAUACAUAACACAUCUCAGGCUUCCCAUCAUCAAGUGUAUAUGUUUGCUGCAUCCAUUUCUGUCCCUUUCCCCACCCCUUUGAUUGAAUUGGGUGACAUUCCUUCUCUUUUUAAAGGCCAGUCUCUUUAGAUGUGCCUUGGAUCCUAUUCACUUCAACCUACUUAAAUGGUGUGUGUCAUCAGGUACCUUCCUCUUGUUUCUUCAACUUCUCCCCUUCUGUGUAACCUUUCUUCUUAUGGCAUUUAGAGUCUUUCUGUACUUUGGCAUAGGAACAAAAUCUCUGUGAACAUCCACCUUUUUCCCAUCUGUGCUUCUUUAUUCUCCAAUCAAGAUAAAGCUCUUCACAGAGUUAUCUACAUACAUGGUCUCCACUUUCCUGCCUCUCUUUUUCUCCAGAGUGUAAAAUAUAUGUACAAUUUAAGGAUAAGCAUUAAAUACCUAAGUAUUCACCACCUCACCCAAUGGAACACAACUCACCUUUGGUUCUUCUUUGAUUGAUUAGAUUCGCUUUCUUCCCCCAGCUAUAACUACAUCAUACAUUUUCUGUUAUUCAUUCCCUUUCUCAUAGUUCUGCAUUGUUUAGUUCUGACUCUUUGAAUUUUAUAUAAAUGGAGUCAUACUUUAUGUGUUAUCCCAUGACCUAUUUCUUUUGCUCAGAGACUUCCAAAUUCAUCCAUUCAGAUGAAUGAAGCCACAAUUCAUUGAAUUGUAUUACUAAAUAGUAUUCUAUUGUAUGAACACCACCAUCCACUUACCCACUACUGGACAUUUGUCUAAUUUUUAUCUGUUCUUGUAUCCAAUAGAUAUACUGUUUUUUAAAAUUUAUGUUGAAGGUUAGUGACUGUAAACUUCUUAACAUUUGUGACUCUUCUUAAUAGCAUGUAAAACCAUUUUUUAUGUCAACAUUAUUAAAAAUCUAUGAGUUUAUGAAAUGAAAAUUGAUUAAUUUUCAGGCUAUGGUUAUAAUUUCUAGCUUUCACUGAAAUUAAUUUAAGUAGCCUAAAUGUAGGGAAUUUGUAAGAUAUUUGAGAAAAAUGAGAUUUUUAAGUUACAUAUUUAUGGAAAUUAUAAAAUGUUUUCAUCAAAAUAGAGUUUAGAAGACAAUAAAUUGUUUUGUAUGAAGUUUUAGUUAGAUUUUAAUAGCAAUUCACUUUCAAAAAUAAUCAUGGAUGGCAAAUAUUGUUUCUCUCAAUCCAUUAAAUCGUUUAUAAACCUUUUGUAAUUCAGACUACAUAGUGUUAGUUAAAAAAAAAAUCAUGAAGUAACUGUUUUCAAAUCCAUGGAAACAUAAUACUGUUUUUGUCCCUAUCCAGGAAAAUGAAUACAAUCUACAUAUGAAAAAGUAGUUUGUGUAGGCCUCAUCUGUGCACUCCAGCCACUCAAAUCUUCAACUUUUUAUCAUUUUGAAACUUUUGCUUUCAAAACAGUCUCCUUCAAAAACAAAUAUGCUUUUCUGACUCAAAAAAGCCAAGCCAAGAAAGUUGCCAAUGUCAUGGAAAAGGGACAUGUCAAGUGCAAGCAACUAAAUCAGCAUAACUGAUAUCUGGCAAUACUUUGAUCAGCUGGCAAUAUUUUGAUCAUAGUCCUACAUCAGAAGUUGGGAUUGCCUUGUAGAAGGAUGCUGUAGUCACAUUAGCUGCUUUUCUUUUUAAAAUCAGAACUCUUUGUUUCUUAGUUCUGAGUUAGGGUUCUCAUUUAAUUGGUACUUACAACUGUUCAUUAGGUAAUCCAACGAUUUUAUCUUUUUCUUGAAGACUUCCCCUCUUGAGUGCCUUUCCUGUUUUAAGGCAGGCUGGUUGAUUUAUAGGGAGACUACCCUAUAGGGUCUCUCUAGUCACCUUUCCUUUCUGUUCACAUUGUCCUUUCUCCUGAGUGGAUCCAGUUUCUUCCUUUUACUUGGUUUAUUCCAUAAUUUUAGUAGAACUCACUCUCCAGUAGCUUCCUCUGAUAAUGUUGUGAUUUUAGCAUGUGCUUUUAAUUAUUUGAGAAAUUGCUUGUCUAACAAUGUCUUUAUUCCAUUGCAGACUAGAUUAAUAUUUUGCUGUGUAUAGACUAGAUUAAUAUUUUGCUGUGUAUAGAAUCCUAGGUUGGAAGUAAUUUUUUUCCUCAGAAAUUUGAAGAUAUUGCUCCACCACCAACUUCUAGGUUCUCUUAUUGUUUUUGAUAAGUCUAAUGUUAUUCUGAUUCUUGAUUUUUAAAAUGUAAUAUGUUUUUUUCCUUUCCUGUAGAAGCUUUUAGGAUCUUUAUGGUCAGGGUUCUAAAAUUUCAUGGCAGUAUUUAUUGGUACAAGUCUUUGUGCUUGUUUGUUUUGCUGCUGGAGCACUUUGAUGGGCUUUCUAAAUAUGGAAAUUUAUGUCCUUCAGUUCUGAUAAUUAUGAUAAAACUUAUUUUUGAAUUUCUUUUUCCUAUCUUAUAUUGUCUGUUCUUUCUUUCUCAAACUCCUAUUUUAGGGAUUUUGGACACCUUAAAGUGAUCUUGUGUGGUGUGGAAGAUUGAUUAUCUAAAGAUAGUGCUUGGCCAGGUGAGGUGGCUCAUGCCUGUAAUCCCAGCAUUUUUGAGGUGGAGGCAGGUGGAUCACCUGAGGUCAGGAGAUUGAGACCAGUCUGACCAACAUGGUGAAACCCCGUCUCUACUAAUAAUACAAAAAUUAGCUGGGCAUGUUGGUGGGCACCUGUAAUCCCAGCUACUCAGGAGGCUGAGGCAAGAGAAUUGCUUGAAUCCGGGAGGCAGAGAUUGCAGUAGCCAAGAUCACACCAUUGCACUCCAGCCUGAGUGAUAGAGUGAGACUCCGUCUCAAAAGUAAAAAAUAAUAAAUAAAUAAAGACAAUGCUCAGUGAUACCUCCCAAACCUUAUGUGCAUGCUAUUCCUCACAUCAACAAAUGAAGUCCAUAUUCCCUUUCCUUGAAUCUGGGCUGAGCUUGUGACUUGCUUUAAUCAAUAGAAAGUGGCAAAAGGUAUAUGGGAUUUCAAGGCCAGGCCAUAAGGGUGCUAGACACUUCUACUUCCUUCAGUUUUUUAUGUAAAGAUACUUGGCGCGGAUUACCUCAUAAUGAAAGGUCAUGUGGAAAGAGGCCUUAGAGGGUGAAAGGACAUCUUGGACUAUUGAGCCCUGGCCAAGUUACCAGGUGAGUGUAGCAAAAGAGCAGAAGACAUGCUAAACUGAACCCAGUCAACCCACAGAACAUUGAGAAAUAAUAAAUUGUUUUAAUUCACUAAGUUUUGGGAUAGUUUGUUAUAAAAUAUUAAAUAACUGAAACACCCUCUAAUUCUCUAGAAUUUUUCUUUCCCAUGUCCUAUUUUUUUUUCUUUCUUUGAAUUCAUCCAUUUAUCCUUUCUGGGAGGGAUUCCACUUUCUGGGUUUAUUUCUCCUUGUUAACUUUUCUGUUAUAGGUUACCAUUGUCAUGUUUUUAGUUCUUUUUUUUUUUUGCCUUUAAAAUUUUUAAAUUGCUUUAUGUUCUUGUUUCAUGGAUACAAAAGUCUUUCUUUUUUUUUAAACUCUUUAAGGAAUUUUUUAAGCUUUUUUCUUUUCCUGUAGAGAUGGGAUUUUGCUAUGUUGCCUAGACUGGUCUUGAGCUCAUGGCCUCGAGCUCAUGGCCUCAAGUGAUCCUCCCACCUCAGCCUCCCAAAGUAUUGGGAUUAAAGGCUUGAGCCACUGUGGCCAGCUAAGGAAUUUAAUUAUAGUUAGAAAAUUCAUUUGAAAUUUGUUUCUGUUUCUUCUGAAGUCCACUUUUUGUUUGCUUGUUUUGGUCUCUGUCUUUCCUAUUGAGACAUUCCUCAAGUGUUUAGUGAUCUUCCUCUCUUAUUCCCAUUUAAUUUUCAAGUAGCAAGAAAUUGAUUGGAAACCAUAUCCUGGAUGGGCCUUAUCAAUUGCUGGACUUCACUGUAUGAUUAUGAAACUGGGCUAUUUCAGUGGGUACCGUCAAUUCUAUCUGUAGUACUUUUCUUUUAGCCUCUUUAGGCUUCCCGGAAAGAAAUCCUCCAGGGAAUUAGAAUCAGAGUAAAGAAAGGGGGGGCUAUGAUUGUUACCAUUCAACAUGUAGAUUUUUCAGUAUGGAACCUCUCACUAUUUUGUGGUGUUGGCGUGUACUAUUUCUGCUCUCACCUAUGCCUAAUAUCCCAGAAUUUGAAGUCUCUCCGUAGAAUAAGCACUUAAUCCUAAUCAGCAGUCACCCUGCUACAUGGGGUGGGGAACAGUUUCCAAGGCUGUAACUGCUUUUUAUACAGAUUUUCGAUGAAUUCUCUUGUUCUUAGUUCUAUACUCCUUUCCCCCAAACCCACCUCCUGGUUCAGAAGUAAAUGUUAUCUCUAAUUCUUGAACUAUUUUAGGGUCUUGACGUGCUAAUCAGCCUAAUUUUGAAGUUUUCAUGCCAGAGACAUAGAUCUCAACUUUCCCUAGUCUAUUAAAAUAGUAAUUUAUGUGUUUUCUGGCCUCCAAACUGCUACUGCUGGUCUCUUCCCCUGCUGUAUUUGUCAGCUUAUGACUUUUCUUUUUCAUGGAUUUACUGCCAUUUUAGUGGUGCCAAAACAGCAAUCCAGUGGUGUGACCUGGGAAUUGUUUCUGGUGCUAGCCUCUAAAGUUGAUCCCUGGCUUUCCUGCAGAAUAUUUUGUCCAUUUAUUAUCUCUUAAUAAACUUAUUUUAUGCUUAAA